GGCGCUGUAGUGUAGUGGUUAUCACUCGAGGUUUUGAUUUCACGAUUUCUCGUAACCCAGGUUCGAGCCCUGGCAGUGCCU